UGGGUCUUGGGGAUCACUAGCUUGGGUGGAGCCAGCAGCCAUGCCAUGAGGACACUCAAGCAGCUCUGGAAGAAGUCCACUUGAAGAGGACACAGGCUUGCUGCCACUUCCCAGCCAUGUGCUUUAACCUCCUUGGGAACACAUCCUUCAUCUCAAGGGAAACUUCAGUUUUUGCUUUGAAGACCUUCAACUAAUUGGAUGAGGACCACCCACCCUCUGGAAGACUCUGUGGAUUGCCGCCCAUCGGUCCAGGCUUCCCGGGUGCUUUUCAGAGCGAGGGUCUUCUGUUGGUCGACCACCACAUAGUCCACUCUCUCGUCGGCUACACUGCUGCCUGAGCCGCUGCUCUUUUGCUAAAAAGCAAAGGAAAAAUCCCGGGCUGUACAAUAGAAGGACUACUGUCUAAGAAAAGAAAAAGAAAAAGGGAAGACAGAGGAAGCACUAAACAACAAGAACAAAAAAGCCUGAGGCAGAAAAAUGAAGAAAAGAAAUAGGCUAUUAGGACCAUGACGAUCAAUGCUAAGCAAAAAGGAAAGGAUGAUGUGAAUUUAUAUCCCUGCAUACACCCUCUACUCUGAUUACGACAGCUUUCAAAUGUGCUCCAAUAAAUGAUUUGUUCCUAGGC